rnacentral:rRNA from 1 species
UGGGGGAUAUUGCACAAUGGGGGAAACCCUGAUGCAGCGACGCCGCGUGAGGGAAGACGGCCUUCGGGUUGUAAACCUCUGUCGCAGGGGACGAAGGAAGUGACGGUACCCUGUGAGGAAGCCACGGCUAACUACGUGCCAGCAGCCGCGGUAAUACGUAGGUGGCGAGCGUUGUCCGGAAUUACUGGGUGUAAAGGGAGCGUAGGCGGGAGUGCAAGUUGAAUGUAUAAACUAUCGGCUCAACUGAUAGAAGCGUUCAAAACUGCACUUCUUGAGUGAAGUAGAGGCAGGCGGAAUUCCUAGUGUAGCGGUGAAAUGCGUAGAUAUUAGGAGGAACACCAGUGGCGAAGGCGGCCUGCUGGGCUUUAACUGACGCUGAGGCUCGAAAGCGUGGGUAGCAAACAGG